rnacentral:rRNA from 1 species
UACGUAGGGUGCAAGCGUUGUCCGGAAUUAUUGGGCGUAAAGAGCUCGUAGGCGGUCUGUCACGUCGGCUGUGAAAACCCGAGGCUCAACCUCGGGCCUGCAGUCGAUACGGGCAGACUAGAGUUCGGCAGGGGAGACUGGAAUUCCUGGUGUAGCGGUGAAAUGCGCAGAUAUCAGGAGGAACACCGAUGGCGAAGGCAGGUCUCUGGGCCGAUACUGACGCUGAGGAGCGAAAGCGUGGGGAGCGAACAGG